GUAUUAUUUUUAUAGUAUAUGUAAAUAAUAGUAAAAAUAAAGCGUAGGAAACUUUAUUUGGCCUUUAAACCAUCAAAUUGACGGGGAAGCCUUAAAGCUAUUUAGACUAAGCAAAAUAAGUAAUUAAGUUGUGGCUCGAAAGAGGUAUAGUAACACAUAAAUAGAUGCACGAAAGGAAAUAGGUAAUCCGCAGCCAAGUGCCAUAUAUUUAUUGUAUAAGUAAUGGUGUGCAGUUCAUCGACUAGACGGUGGUUGGUAUUAUUGUUCACAUAAUACUUAAGAUAUAGUCAGACCCUAUCCGAAAGGAUACA
rnacentral:ncRNA from 1 species